CCGACGACGUCUCUUCAAACCUCCCAAGCGAUCGAGCCUCCACAACACUCCCAAGUUUUUAUGACGGAUAAGCCCCCACCAGCGUCGACCGGAUUCUUCGCGACGGACGGACUCCACCCAAAUUUCCACGAUGAUCGACCAUCCUCUAGACUUCGCCCGAACUCCUACGGGAGCCGGACCUCAUCCCCAACUUCGACUGCAGGCAGACUUCGUCCGGACUCCUACGGGAGCCAGACUCCGCCCACAACUCC
rnacentral:lncRNA from 1 species